rnacentral:rRNA from 1 species
UAAGUCCCGUAACGAGCGCAACCCUUGUCCUUAGUUGCCAUCAUUUAGUUGGGGACUCUAAGGAGACUGCCGGUGACAAACCGGAGGAAGGCGGGGACGACGUCAAGUCAUCAUGGCCCUUACGAGUAGGGCUACACACGUGCUACAAUGGCAAGUACAGAGGGCCGCGAAGCCGCGAGGUGGAGCUAAUCUCACAAAGCUUGUCGUAGUCCGGAUUGGAGUCUGCAACUCGACUCCAUGAAGUCGGAAUCGCUAGUAAUCGCAAAUCAGAAUGUUGCGGUGAAUACGUUCCCGGGCCUU